AAUACUUGGUUAAUACCUAGGAUACUGGCAGCAACCUGCAUCAACCAUUAGCGCCAGUCAAUUAUAUUUGUGAUACAUUUUUAAAUGUUCAGUUGACUGAGUUUCAUGUUUAAUGAAUAAAAGAGAUAAUUAAAAAUAACAAGAACAAUAAUAAUAGUA